CGGGGGGUGGAGCAGCACGGUAGCUCGUCGGGCUCAUAACCCGAAGGUCGCAGGUUCAAAUCCUGUCCCCGCAACCA
rnacentral:tRNA from 1 species